UCUCUUGUAGUUCAACAGGUUAAGAACCUGGCACAGUCACUGCAGUGGCUCAGGUCGCUGCCAUGGUGCAGGUUCAAUUCCUGCCCCAGGAA
rnacentral:tRNA from 1 species